rnacentral:rRNA from 1 species
AGGAUGAACGCUGGCGGCGUGCCUAAUACAUGCAAGUCGAGCGGUAAGGCCUCUUCGGAGGUACACGAGCGGCGGACGGCUGAGUAACACGUAGGAACGUACCCCAAAGUGAGGCAUAAGCACCAGAAAUGGUGUCUAAUACCGCAUGUGCUCUAAGGAGUAAAGCUUCGGCGCUUUGGGAACGGCCUGCGCAUGAUUAGCUUGUUGGUGAGGUAAUAGCUCACCAAGGCGACGAUCAUUAGCUGGUCUGAGAGGAUGACCAGCCAGACUGGGACUGAGAACGGCCCAGACUCCUACGGGAGGCAGCAGUAGGGAAUUUUCCACAAUGGGCGAAAGCCUGAUGGAGCAACGCCGCGUGCAGGAUGAAGGCCUUCGGGUGUAAACUGCUUUUAUAUGUGACGAAUAUGACGGUAGCAUAUGAAUAAGGAUCGGCUAACUCCGCGCCAGCAGCCGCGGU